CUGUGCCUCCUGCUGAGUGUGUUCACCUGGACCUUCUGACCACCUUCCUUGUACUGUUCCAUCAGCCUACAGAUCUGGUACCUGGAUUUUUGCCAUCAGUGAUUCCUUCACCUUACUGCUGAAGAAGACAUCAUUCCUGUGGACCAGUGUGAUCCAAGAGGCAUUCAGCCAUCAUGAUGUGGCCUUCACCUCCACUCCUGUCCUGUUCCACCCAGAUUCAGCACAGCCCUUUA
rfam:Mustela putorius furo unplaced genomic scaffold scaffold00122, whole genome shotgun sequence.